GCAGAUGUACCGUGAUCUCAGUGGAUCCAGCAACUGGCAGCGUCACCUACUCCUGCGGUGAUCUGGAUGGACGGUACGUAAACGUCCUCCUUCGUGGAUGGUGGAACUACCUCCCGGUGUGCGAGGUGGAAGUAUACGAGUCAGAUUAUAUAAAACGAUCGUUCAUGAAGCUAGUGUUUAACUCCAGCGCCGAUCUGACCGACCCGACAGUAACGGAUCAAGUGCUUAAAGAGUUGACGUCAGCGCUGGCUGUGAGAGGAAUCACCAAUGUGACGCUGAGCUGGUCUCAAACUCCUGAAGAAGAAGAAGUGAUUCAAAGACAAGUCGAAAACGAUUCCUGCUGAAGCAGAUCUCAGAGGAGGAAUGAGCUUCAUUAUAUUCAUCAUUUAUGCACCUCAGUUAUUCAUACAGUCACUGCAAGAUGCCAGAAUAAACAUGCUGUUUUCAUGAACCCUCUGAAACAUGAAGGAUGACACCAGGAAGGAAAAGGAAAGCAAGAUUGUCUCUCACUAAAAUAAUGUAUUUUGAUCUUAUAGAAAAACACAUUCUCUUAUAUUUCCCCCAAAAA